rnacentral:lncRNA from 1 species
UUCAACAGGAUCACAUCCCGGACCUAGAUAUCGAAUUAUCUAUCUGACGGAUGCGGUACUCUAUCGGAUCUCCUUAAUGGUGCCUCUACAAUGGAUUUCGGAUUUGAUCUAAUCAAAUUCAAUUCUAUGGAUUCACUAGAUUGUGUCGGUUCUUCUAUCUGUCAAACUUAAUAAGUUUCACAUUAAAGGCAUCAAUACCUUCACCAAGGUACUUCCUUUCUAAAAAGAAUGACGAACAAC